rnacentral:lncRNA from 1 species
CUCGUCCCUUGCAGUCGGGCGCGCGCGAGCGUCCUGGGAGAGCGAGUUGCCUGUGGCUGGGAGCGCGAGGCUUCAGCCUGCGGCGAGGAGCAACUGGCCUCCCACCGCUCGCGAGUCGGGGCGCCCUCGGAGCGACCCGUGCUCUCCGGGUGUGGACUCUCAGCCUCGCAGGCUCUUACCUUUCUGGCCUCCUGAGGGUCGCCAUAGCCCGGCGAAGCCCGGGGGAUUCACUUGACGCAAAAGUCCUAAGCGCAGUCCGCGCCGGUCUGGGGGACCUGUGAUGCUCGUGUAGGCUCUCGCCUGCCCGGAACGUCUACACUCCGUGUUCAGGCCUUGUCUGUCCUCCAGGAAGCCUCACCUGCUGCUGGCUACAGUACACCUGUAUUGGGCCCUAUUCUGAGAUGUCCCGGCUCCAGGAGGCGUUAAUGAGACAGGUGCUGGUGGCAGGAUUUCCCGAGCCGAGCGGGCUUUCACGUUGUGUCACCAGAGUCUCGAUCUGGGUUGAUUGGGACUUUGAGCUUCUCCCUGGAAGAGAUAAGGAGACCUAUAUGUUGACCCAUGUGCCCACCCCCAUGGACUUCCAAGACUUCCAGGAUGGAUGCGAUUUCUUUUCUGUAACCCAUCAACUGUGAACCAGCAAUGUAUUGACCCAUCAAUGAGGUCAGGGUACUUGAGAUCCAGUCUUCACAAAGCCCUGCCUCUUAACACAGC